CCCCUAGAUGUUCUGGGCCGCACGCGCGCUACACUGAACAGUUCAACAAGUCUUAACCUUGGCCGAUAGGUCUGGGUAAUCUUUGAACGCUGUUCGUGAUUGGGAUAGACCUUUGCAAUUAUGGGUCUUCAACGAGGAAUUCCUAGUAAACGCAAGUCAUCAGCUUGCAUUGAUUACGUCCCUGCCCUUUGUACACACCGCCCGUCGCACCUACCGAUUGAAUGGUCCGGUGAAAUCUCGGGACGGCGGCUUGGUCGCUUGCGUCCGACUGCUGAAACUUGAUUAAACCAUAUCACUUAGAGGAAGGUGAANUCGUAACA
rnacentral:rRNA from 1 species